UACGGAGGGUGCAAGCGUUAUCCGGAUUUACUGGGUUUAAAGGGUGCGUAGGUGGAUUUGUAAGUCAGUGGUGAAAUCUCCGGGCUUAACCCGGAAACUGCCAUUGAUACUAUAAGUCUUGAAUUAUCUGGAGGUAAGCGGAAUAUGUCAUGUAGCGGUGAAAUGCUUAGAUAUGACAUAGGACACCAAUUGCGAAGGCAGCUUACUACGGAUAUAUUGACACUGAGGCACGAAAGCGUGGGGAUCAAACAGG
rnacentral:rRNA from 1 species